rnacentral:rRNA from 1 species
GACGAACGCUGGCGGCGGGCCUAACACAUGCAAGUCGAGCGGAGAGGCGGACGGGGGAGUAAUGCCUAGGAAUCUGCAUGGCAGCGGGGGAUAACGUACGGAAACGGGCACUAAGACUGAAAACUAGCAGAUGAGCCUAGGUCGGAUUAGCAAGUUGGUGGGGUAAAGGCAUACCUAGGCGACGAUCCGUAACUGGUCCGAGAGGAUGAUAAAUCACACUGGGACUGAUACACGGUCCAGACACCUACGGUAGGCAGCAGUGGGGAAUAUUGGACAAUGGGCGAAAGCCUGAUCCAGCCAUGCCGCGUGUAUGAAGAAGGUCUUCGGAUUGUAAAGCACUUUCAGUUGGGAGGCGUUACCCGCAGAAUAAGCACCGGCUAACUUCGUGCCAGCCGCCGCGGUAGUAC